rnacentral:rRNA from 1 species
UACGGAGGAUGCGAGCGUUAUCCGGAUUUAUUGGGUUUAAAGGGUGCGUAGGCGGGCAUUUAAGCCGGCGGUAAAAAUUCAGGGCUCAACCCUGUCGAGCCGUCGGAACUGGCGGUCUUGAGUGGGCGAGAAGUAUGCGGAAUGCGUGGUGUAGCGGUGAAAUGCAUAGAUAUCACGCAGAACCCCGAUUGCGAAGGCAGCAUACCGGCGCCCGACUGACGCUGAAGCACGAAAGCGUGGGUAUCGAACAGG